UACGUAGGGUGCGAGCGUUGUUCGGAUUUACUGGGCGUAAAGGGCGCGUAGGCGGCGUGUUAAGUCAGCUGUGAAAUCUCCAAGCUUAACUUGGAACGGUCAGCUGAUACUGAUGUGCUAGAGUGCAGAAAGGGCAACCGGAAUUCUUGGUGUAGCGGUGAAAUGCGUAGAUAUCAAGAGGAACACCUGAGGCGAAGGCGGGUUGCUAGGCUGACACUGACGCUGAGGCGACGAAAGCUAGGGUAGCAAACGGG
rnacentral:rRNA from 1 species